rnacentral:rRNA from 1 species
ACGAACGCUGGCGGCGGGCUUAACACAUGCAAGUCGAACGGAAAGGCCCUGCUUUUGUGGGGUGCUCGAGUGGCGAACGGGGGAGUAACACGUGAGUAACCUGCCCUUGACUUUGGGAUAACUUCAGGAAACUGGGGCUAAUACCGGAUAGGAGCUCCUGCUGCAUGGGGGGGGGUGGAAAGUUUCGGCGGUUGGGGAUGGACUCGCGGCUUAUCAGCUUGUUGGUGGGGUAGUGGCUUACCAAGGCUUUGACGGGUAGCCGGCCUGAGAGGGUGACCGGCCACAUUGGGACUGAGAUACGGCCCAGACUCCUACGGGAGGCAGCAGUGGGGAAUAUUGCACAAUGGGCGGAAGCCUGAUGCAGCAACGCCGCGUGCGGGAUGACGGCCUUCGGGUUGUAAACCGCUUUCGCCUGUGACGAAGCGUGAGUGACGGUAAUGGGUAAAGAAGCACCGGCUAACUACGUG